UAAGGAAUAUUGGUCAAUGGACGCAAGUCUGAACCAGCCAUGCCGCGUGGAGGAUUAAGGCCCUCUGGGUUGUAAACUCCUUUUAUCUGGGAAGAAAUGUACUUUUUCUUGAGUACUUGACGGUACCAGAGGAAUAAGCACCGGCUAACUCCGUGCCAGCAGCCGCGGUAAUACGGAGGGUGCAAGCGUUAUCCGGAUUCACUGGGUUUAAAGGGUGCGUAGGUGGGCAGGUAAGUCAGUGGUGAAAUCUCCGGGCUUAACCCGGAAACUGCCGUUGAUACUAUUUGUCUUGAAUAUUGUGGAGGUAAGCGGAAUAUGUCAUGUAGCGGUGAAAUGCUUAGAUAUGACAUAGAACACCAAUUGCGAAGGCAGCUUAUUACACAAUCAUUGACGCUGAGGCACGAAAGCGUGGGGA
rnacentral:rRNA from 1 species